UACAGAGGGUGCGAGCGUUGUCCGGAAUCAUUGGGCGUAAAGAGCGUGUAGGCGGCCCGGUAAGUCCGCUGUGAAAUCCUGGAGCUCAACUCCAGAACUGCCUUCGAUACUGGCGAUCUUGAGUCCGGGAGAGGUGAGUGGAACUCCGAGUGUAGAGGUGAAAUUCGUAGAUAUUCGGAAGAACACCAGUGGCGAAGGCGACUACCUGGCCCAUUCUUGACGCUGAGGCGCGAAAGCUAGGGGAGCGAACGGG
rnacentral:rRNA from 1 species